rnacentral:rRNA from 1 species
GAUUCUUCGGAUGAUUUUCAGUUGACUGAGCGGCGGACGGGUGAGUAACGCGUGGGUGACCUGCCCCAUACCGGGGGAUAACAGCUGGAAACGGCUGCUAAUACCGCAUAAGCGCACAGAGCUGCAUGGCUCGGUGUGAAAAACUCCGGUGGUAUGGGAUGGGCCCGCGUCUGAUUAGGCAGUUGGCGGGGUAACGGCCCACCAAACCGACGAUCAGUAGCCGGCCUGAGAGGGCGACCGGCCACAUUGGGACUGAGACACGGCCCAAACUCCUACGGGAGGCAGCAGUGGGGAAUAUUGCACAAUGGGGGAAACCCUGAUGCAGCGACGCCGCGUGAGCGAAGAAGUAUUUCGGUAUGUAAAGCUCUAUCAGCAGGGAAGAUAAUGACGGUACCUGACUAAGAAGCCCCGGCUAACUACGUGCCAGCAGCCGCGGUAAUACGUAGGGGGCAAGCGUUAUCCGGAUUUACUGGGUGUAAAGGGAGCGUAGACGGCAAGGCAAGUCUGAUGUGAAAACCCAGGGCUUAACCCUGGGACUGCAUUGGAAACUGUCUGGCUCGAGUGCCGGAGAGGUAAGCGGAAUUCCUAGUGUAGCGGUGAAAUGCGU